AUGUGUGAUAACGGGACCCUUUCUGCACCUGUUCCUGUCUGUUAUGAUAAUGAUGUAUGUGACUUGGGAAUCGAUGACUGUGACAUCAAUGCACGUUGUGUAAACAGCAUUGGAAGCUUCAUGUGUGAGUGCAAUGAUGGAUAUCAAGGCAGCGGAACCAUCUGUUCUGAUAAUGAUGAAUGUGAUUUGGGGAUCGAUGACUGUGACGUCAAUGCACGUUGUGUAAACAGCAUUGGAAGCUUUACGUGUGUGUGCAAUGAUGGAUACCAAGGCAGCGGAACAAUAU